rnacentral:pre_miRNA from 1 species
UAGCAGCACGUAAAUAUUGGAGUUAAAACUACUGCUGAAGCCUCCAGUAUUGUUCGUGCUGCUGA